AACGAACGCUGGCGGCAUGCCUAACACAUGCAAGUCGAACGAGACCUUCGGGUCUAGUGGCGCACGGGUGCGUAACGCGUGGGAACCUGCCCUUAGGUACGGAAUAACUCCCCGAAAGGGGUGCUAAUACCGGAUAAUGUCUUCGGACCAAAGAUUUAUCGCCUUUGGAUGGGCCAGCGUUGGAUUAGCUAGUUGGUAGGGUAAAAGCCUACCAAGGCGACGAUCCAUAGCUUGUCUGAGAGGAUGAUCAGCCACACUGGGACUGAGACACGGCCCAGACUCCUACGGGAGGCAGCAGUGGGGAAUAUUGUACAAUGGGCGAAAGCCUGAUCCAGCAAUGCCGCGUGAGUGAUGAAGGCCUUAGAGUUGUAAAGCUCUUUUACCCGGGAUGAUAAUGACAGUACCGGGAGAAUAAGCGCCGGCUAACUCCGUG
rnacentral:rRNA from 1 species